rnacentral:rRNA from 1 species
AUUGAACGCUGGCGGCAGGCCUAACACAUGCAAGUCGAACGAGUGGCGGACGGGUGAGUAACACGUGAUAACCUCCCUAUAAGACUGGGAUAACUUCGGGAAACCGGCGCUAAUACCGGAUACUUAUAGAUGGAUCCGCGCUGCAUUGGCUAGUUGGAGGGGUAAAGGCCUACAAAGGCGACGAUCCGUAACUGGUCUGAGAGGGUGAUCAGUCACACUGGAACUGAGACACGGUCCAGACUCCUACGGGAGGCAGCAGUGGGGAAUAUUGGACAAUGGGCGAAAGCCUGAUCCAGCCAUGCCGCGUGUGUGAAGAAGGUCUUCGGAUUGUAAAGUACUUUCAGCGGGGAGGCGUUACCCGCAGAAGAAGCACCGACUAACUCCGUGCCAGCAGCCGCGGUAAUAC